UACGUAGGUGGCAAGCGUUAUCCGGAUUUACUGGGUGUAAAGGGCGUGUAGGCGGGACUGCAAGUCAGAUGUGAAACCCAUGGGCUCAACCCAUGGCCUGCAUUUGAAACUGUAGUUCUUGAGUGAUGGAGAGGCAGGCGGAAUUCCGUGUGUAGCGGUGAAAUCCGUAGAUAUCUGGAGGAACAUCAGUGGCGAAGGCGGCCACCUGGACCGGUAUUGACGCUGAGGCGCGAAAGCGUGGGGAGCAAACAGG
rnacentral:rRNA from 1 species